GCGUCGGUGGUGCAGCGGUAGCACGCCCACUUUCAGUGGGAGGGGUUCGUUCAAUUCGGGCCCGGCGCUCCA
rnacentral:tRNA from 2 species